AGUUUGAUCCUGGCUCAAUUGAACGCUGGCGGCAGGCCUAACACAUGCAAGUCGAGCGCGAAAACACUUCCGUGUGACUAAAGCGGCGGACGGGUGAGUAAUGCUUGGGAAUCUGCCCCUUACUGUGGGAUAACGUGUGGAAACGCACGCUAAUACCGCAUACGUCCUACGGGAGAAAGCGGGGGAUCUUCGGACCUUGCGCUAUUGGAUGAGCCCUGUCGGAUUAUCUAGUUGGUGGGGUAAUGGCCUACCAAGGCGACGAUCCGUAGCUGGUCUGAGAGGAUGAUCAGCCACUCUGCGACUGAGACACGGCCCAGACUCCUACAGGAGGCAGCAAUGGGGAAUAUUGCACAAUGGGCGAAAGCCUGAUGCUCCCAUGCCGCGUGUGUGAAUAAGGCUCUACGGUUGUAAAGCACUUUCACUGCUUAGGAAAAGCUUAAAGUUAAUAACCUUGAACCCUGACGUUACCUACAGAAGAAGCACCGGCAAACUCCGUGCCGCCAGCCGCGGUAAUACGGAGGGUGCGAGCGUUAAUCGGAAUUACUGGUGGUAAAGCGCGCGUAGGUGGUUUGAUAAGCUAUCUGAGAAAGCCCCCGGCUCCUCCUGUGAACUGCUGUUAUAACUGUCUGACUAGAGUACAGUAGAGGGUGUCGGAAUUUCGUGUGUAGCGGUGAAAUGCGUAGAUAUAGGAAGGAACAUCAGUGACGAAGGCGGCCACCUGGACUGAUACUGACGCUGAGGUGCGAAAGCGUGGGGAGCAAACAGGAUUAGAUACCCUGGUAGUCCACGCCGUAACGAUGUCUACUAGCCGUUGGGAGACUUGAUCUCUUAGCGGCGCAGCUAACGCGAUAAGUAGACCGUAUGUGGAGUACGGCCGCAAGGUUAUAACUCAAAUGAAUUGACGGGGGCCCGCACAAGCGGUGGAGCAUGUGGUGUAAUUCGACGCAACGUGAAGAACCUUAGCAGGUCUUGACCUCCUAGAAACUUAGCUGAGAUGCUUUGGUGCCUUCGGGAAUCUUGUGACAGGUGACGCAUGGCUGUCGUCAGGUCGUGUCGUGAGAUGUUGGGUUAAGUCCCGUAAUGAGCGCAACCCUUGUCCUUAGUUGCCAGCAUGUAAUGGUGGGAACUCUAAGGAGACUGCCGGUGACAAACCGGAGGAAGGUGGGGACGACGUCAAGUCAUCAUGUCCUUUACGACCUGGGCUACACACGUGCUACAAUGGCCAGUACAGAGGGCUGCAAACCCGCGAGGGGGAGCCAAUCUCACAAAGCUGGUCGUAGUCCGGAUCGCAGUUUGCAAUUCGAAUGUGUGAAGUUGGAAUCGCUAGUAAUCGUGAAUCAGAAUGUCACGGUGAAUACGUUCCCGGGCUUCGUACACACCGCCCGUCACACCAUGGGAGUGGGUUGCAAAAGAAGUAGCUAGGUUAACCUUCGGGAGGCCGGUUACCACUUUGUGAUUCAUGACUGGGGUGAAGUCGUAACAAGGUA
rnacentral:rRNA from 1 species